rnacentral:rRNA from 1 species
GAUGAACGCUGGCGGCGUGCCUAAUACAUGCAAGUCGAGCGAACAGACGAGGAGCUUGCUCCUCUGACGUUAGCGGCGGACGGGUGAGUAACACGUGGAUAACCUACCUAUAAGACUGGGAUAACUUCGGGAAACCGGAGCUAAUACCGGAUAAUAUAUUGAACCGCAUGGUUCAAUAGUGACAGACGGUUUUUCUGUCACUUAUAGAUGGAUCCGCGCCGCCUUCGCUAGUUGGUAAGGUAACGGCUUACCAAGGCAACGAUGCGUAGCCGACCUGAGAGGGUGAUCGGCCACACUGGAACGGAGACACGGUCCAGACUCCUACGGGAGGCAGCAGUAGGGAAUCUUCCGCAAUGGGCGAAAGCCUGACGGAGCAACGCCGCGUGAGUGAUGAAGGUCUUCGGAUCGGAAAACUCUGUUAUUAGGGAAGAACAAAUGUGUAAGUAACUAUGCACGUCUUGACGGUACCUAAUCAGAAAGCCACGGCUAACUACGUG